rnacentral:lncRNA from 1 species
AGGUUACAUUUGUAUUCACAAACCAGGUAGAUGGGAAGCUCAUUCCCAUAAAAUCAAAUCCUAGUCCAAAACCGGAAGUAACCGAAUUAAACCGAAACCAAGCUGUAAGUAACCGUGGCUUCAACAAACCGCAACAAAGACCUAGGGAACCUCUCCAACCAUUAUCUCCCAACGAGACCAACAAAAGAGUGAAGUUGUCUACGUAUAAGCGUUUACACUGUACUAGUAAUACUGAUGGUGCUCAAAUGCAAAUGCCUUUGCAAAGACCAAAUCAAGUGUCUGUAAAUCAUGAUGAUGAUUUUGUAUGAAAUUUAAAGCUUUUGAGCCUUCAGAGACAUUGUUGUGCUAUAUCGUGGAUAUAAUUGAGUUUUUUUUUUCCUUUUCCCUGUGAGAAUCAUUAGACUUUGUAUAUAUUACUCGCAUAGUUUGGACAGUUUUGUUAAUCCGGCCCGUCUGGGAUUUGUUCUGAUAUUUGUAUAUGUUUCAUGUUUGUGUUAAGUUUUGGUAACUGCCAAUUAGUUAAUCCAUGAGACCAUGAUCGAAUGAUUGAACCAAAGCAAGCCAAAGCUUCGAAAAGUCGCUAGCUAUUUAGAAUCGGUCCUUGAGACCAUGAUCGAAUGAUUGAAUGAUUGGUAACUGCCAAUUAGUUAAUCCAUGAGACCAUGAUCGAAUGAUUGAACCAAAGCAAGCCAAAGCUUCGAAAAGUCGCUAGCUACUUAGAAUCGGUCCUUGAAAUGCCCCGUCUUUGGCAAAGGCUGAUAGAAUCGGAUCGGUUAAAUUCAUCAGAGAUAUUGGUCUUUCUUAAGUAGACAAAUCUACUCAUCUCUUUUCGAAAUACAAGUCGAUUAUUAUUUCUUUGCAUUAUUGUGUUCAGUUUUACAUAAAAGGGUGAACGCCGAUAAAAAAUGGUGACAAUAAUUGGACUUGUUUGUUUGUCUUUUUGUUUGUGAAGUACUUCUGUUUUAAGAAAUAAAAAGUAGUGUGGUAAAAAGCUGUUUUAUUUUGUUUAAGUGAAUAACACAAGAAAGGCAGAGACUUAAGUAAGAGGAAGAAGACAGAAGGUGUAGAGUAAACUGGAGACAAGAAGACAGCCAAAAUAAACUUUAGAUACAGCUUACUUAUCCACCACAAAAGUCCUAUGAUGCUAUCUAUAUGUCUAGAUUCCCUUACCAUGCUUUGCGCCAUUUUUAAUAAUCAAAAACUCUACUUUUAAUAUGAAAACAAUAUACUUAAUGCAAUUUGGUAAAUUCAGACUAUUUAAGAAAAUGCAAAAUAUGAUAAUGUAUCUAGGUUUGAUUAUCGAUAAUGUCUAGUUACUGUUAGUAGUCAAUGAGAUGGGAGUUUAACACAUUAUCACUUGAAAAAACUCGAUCCGAAAAACUUGCUGGAUACGAAAUUGCACUCAAGGGAACAUGGCAUUUAUACUUUGGAUAAAUGAAUGGUUUGCACAUAAAUAGUUACGUAAGCCGAACGAGCUUGGUUUGCUCUAAAGCGCCACACGUUAAAACCCUAGUUGAAGAAACGUGGGGAAAUUCCAUUAGGACUGGAACUGAAGCACGUGAGGGUCACAAUAGGACAAAUAUUACCACAGUUUUAGUCAAACCCUAAAGUCUGAAUCCAAAAAUAUAGAUUUUACCUCUUUUUUUAAAAGAUAUUGUUUUCUGUUUUUGGGGCUUUUGAUCAGUCGACCAUUUACAGCUCAGACUCACAUGGCUCAUUUGGUGCUACAGUACUCUGUCUCCUUGAUUGAUUCAUCUGUUUGUCUGUAACUAAGUAUUAUUAAGUAAUUACAUAUUAACAUGUAUGAAUCUGUUCAUUAAUUUGAGAGAAAUAUAAUUAUAUUUGUUUUGUUUUGAAUGUUCUGUUAAAGUAUUAAUGGUAGUAUCAAUAUAUCCUACCAAGAAUAUUUUUUUUGUUAUAAUUGUUAAAUGUAGCUCAUCUUUAGACUAUAGAAAUAUGUUCAGUGCAUAAUAUUUACAAGUUUGUGUAGCGGCCAAUGUUUUUAAACCCGACCCAGACACUAAACCGGACGACUUACUGGGUCGUUGGGUCACAAGGUCGACCGCGUAUAAACCGCAUAUUAAUAAAUGAAUUAAUUUUAUUAUAUAAUAAUAUAUUAGCUAUGACUUAGCUCCUUCUAAAUUUAUUUGACAGUUUGGGGAAGACAUUGCAGUCCAUUACUUUACUAUACACACUUCUAUGUCAAGGAUUUGAUGGGACUCCUAUGGUUAAAAAGGCCAUUAUUGUUACACCAACGAGUCUAGUCAGUAACUGGGAAGCUGAAAUUAAGAAAUGGGUUGGAGACAGGAUUCAGCUUAUAGCCCUCUGUGAAAGCACCCGAGAUGAUGUUUUGUCUGGAAUAGAUAGUUUCACUCGACCACGAAGCGCUUUGCAGGUAUAAUUGUGCAUAUUUGCUCGCUGACUCUGAAAAGUGCACUUAUCACUUAAUUAAUGUUAACAGGUACUUAUUAUUUCUUACGAGACAUUCCGAAUGCACUCAUCCAAGUUCGGCCAGACUGGAUCCUGUGAUCUUCUAAUAUGCGAUGAGGCUCAUAGGUUGAAAAAUGACCAGACACUAACUAACAAGGUAGCAUGCACAUACAUACUUAGUUCGUAUCCUACCAAGUUUGUACAAUGAUACUUCUUAUAUCUUGUCUUUUCUAAUUUCGACUGUAAUAUUUGGAUGCAGGCUUUGGCUUCAUUGACAUGCAAAAGGCGGGUUUUGUUGUCUGGAACUCCCAUGCAGGUAAUGAAAAAUUCACUGAUUUCUUCAUGUUUUGCGUUCUUCCCUUCUUUCUGAUUCUUCAGCAUCCGAAUGUUCCAGAAUGACUUGGAAGAGUUUUUUGCCAUGGUCAACUUUACAAAUCCAGGAAGUUUAGGCGAUGCUUCGCAUUUUCGCCACUAUUUUGAGGUGACAUACAAUAAACUCUGCUCCUCCUUUUAGUUCUAAUCCGAUCAUUCCGUGUUCGUUCGUCUGUAACUAUGUCAAGAUCAGUAUCUCAAGCCGAUUAUUGGCCUAAAAAUGUAGGUUUAGCGUAUGAUACUUGUUGCACAAAAAAAAGCGUAUGUUACUUUGCCGCUACAUUAUUUAUGUUUCGUUUCCGUAUAGCAGCUUCAUAGCCUGUGGAUUCCACUAGGUUGAAAGCUUAUAAAGAUAGUUUUGAGAUUAGAAAAUCUGCUUACGCAGUUAUCUGUGUCAUAACUUCAUUUCAGUUGACUAAAGGUUGUUAUCUUUCGUACGCUGAUGCAUCCUUAUUUUUGAUAUAUCAUACAUAAGGCACCUAUUAUUUGUGGAAGAGAACCUACAGCUACUGAGGAAGAGAAAAAUUUAGCUGCUGAACGCUCGGCAGAACUGAGUUCAAAAGUGAAUCAGGUACCUCGUAGCAUUUUGUAUGUAUCUAAUUGUCAUUGAGAUUUCAUUUUCAUCUAGAUAUAUUUCUUAAAACGAAUGCAGUUUGCUUAGAUGAUUUUGGUACUAUGAUCAAUAGAGCAUCACUAUAAUUGUUGCUUAUAUUUUACUGCUUUACCUUGAGAAGAAUUUCUUUUGUUUACAGUUUAUAUUGAGGAGAACUAAUGCAUUGCUCUCCAAUCAUUUACCACCUAAGGUAACUUUCCUUCUGCAUCUGCCACAGGCUUCUGAAUAAAGUGUCUUAUGAUGCUAAAACGUUUCUCUGUCAAUAUGGCUUAAUUACUUCUUCAUAUGCUGAAUCGUCAGACUGAGUACUAUAUGUAGUUUUAGCAGGGACAUAAUCAGCUGAUGAGAAUAUAAAUAGAAUGAACAUCUUUUCUUAGCUACUAGUUAUUAGUUUUGCUGCUUUCUUUAUUUUGGACUCAGUAAUACAUCAAAAUCUUGAUGCUUGCUGGAUGUUUUGCAGAUAAUUGAAGUAGUUUGUUGCAAGAUGACUACUCUCCAGUCCACUUUGUACAAUCAUUUUAUAAGCUCAAAAAAUGUAAGCAUUGAUCACAGUCAUUCUUAUACGUUAUGUAAAAUAUACAUGUAACUAUAUACAAUGGGUGCCUCUGCAUGCAGCUUAAAAGAGCACUUGCUGAUAAUGCAAAGCAGACAAAAGUUUUGGCUUAUAUAACAGCUCUCAAGAAGCUCUGCAAUCAUCCAAAGGUAUCCAUUUGUAAUUAAGUUUCUGCAAUAUUGUUAGGCAUCUUUGUGACAUCUUAAGGUGCUAUGAUCAAGUGAUCCAUGAUCAACGUGAUUGACAAAUCUAUUCGAUCUUUCCCAAUUUAUGCUUAAUGAUAAACGUACUUUUCUUCUAUGUAGCUAAUUUACGAUACAAUAAAAAGCAAAAGUCCUGGUACUAUUGGUUUUGAGGAUUGCUUAGAGUUUUUCCCUGCAGAAAUGUUCUCCGGAAGGUAGGCUUCUUUCUCUAGUUUGAAUCAUUGUGUGACUGCAUGUGUGUCACUGAUUGUGAUCUAAAUGGAAACAUCCAUUCAGAUCUGGAGCAUGGACCGGGGGUGAUGGUGCCUGGGUCGAGCUCUCUGGGAAAAUGCAUGUUCUCUCCAGACUUUUGGCUAACCUACGUCGGAAUACUGAUGACCGCAUAGUCCUUGUAUCAAACUAUACGCAGGUAUGCUACUUUUAUUUAGUUCGAACGGGACAGUGUUACUACUGGCCUACUUGUCAAUAAUGGAUGUUUCAAUCUAUUUUGAAUUAGUCUUCCCAUAAGCUAUGUGUUAUCCCGAGGCUUAUGAGCCAUUAUAUUUCUGCAUGUGAUAUCUGAGAAGGUAAAGAACAGGCUAAGCUAAUCGGUCUGUUUGUAUCCAAAAGGCAACUAUUUCUUACAAACAUCACAAUAACUGAACUCUGUUUGUUGUUUGACUGCAUAAAGCCAUUAUCGUGGUAUGUUCCAUAUAGAUAGCAAUUUUUAAUCCAGUCUGCAUACAAUGAUAAUAGCCUGCACCUUUUGCACUAGACAUUGGAUCUUUUCGCUCAACUCUGUCGCGAAAGAAGAUAUCCUUAUCUGAGGCUGGAUGGAUCAACAUCUAUCAGCAAGAGGCAGAAGCUUGUUAACCGGUUGAACGACCCAACAAAGGUACUUGAUCUUAUAUAUUUAUUUCUCCCUUCGUUACAAACCUUGAGUAAACACUAAUCACUUGGUUCGGGUUUUGCUUCUGUAGGAUGAAUUUGCAUUUCUCUUAAGCAGCAAGGCAGGUGGCUGUGGAUUAAAUUUAAUUGGUGCUAAUCGACUUGUUUUGUUCGAUCCCGAUUGGAAUCCUGCCAAUGAUAAACAAGUAAGUAUCAUCUUAACUUUCGUUUACAUCUGUUCCAGAACUAUGUCGAUAAGGGAUGAUUGAUUGUGCUAUACAUUCAUUACUUCGCUGUCAAAAAGGCUGCUGCUAGAGUUUGGAGGGAUGGGCAAAAGAAAAGAGUGUAUGUCUACAGGUUUCUUAGUACAGGAACUAUUGAAGAAAAGGUAAUGUACCACACACCCACAGAACUGACCUCACUUUUUUGCUCGCGGGAGUAAUUGCCAAACUCUCAUAUUGGUAUUUCACUUAAUAUAUUGGUAGGUUUACCAGCGUCAGAUGUCAAAAGAAGGGCUUCAGAAAGUUAUUCAGCAUGAACAGACGGAUAACAGCACUAGACAGGUAUUUACUGGAAUGUUACAUUCGUCAACCAGACAUCUUAUGCCUAAUUCAUGAAUAUCGACCCCAACAUCUUUGAUUUUCCAGGGGAACUUACUUUCAACAGAGGAUUUAAGAGAUUUAUUUUCCUUCCACGGGGAUGUUAAGUAUGUGUUUCUCCUGAACUCAUGAUGUGUUUGCCCUCUCAUAUAUGGCUGAUUAUGCAUCUCAGUAUUCAUGAACACACAUUCUCUACUGUAAAGUAGUCCAAUGGUUUAAACUCUGCCUUUUUCAUAGGUCUGAAAUCCAUGGAAAGAUGAGCUGCAGCAGGUGCCAAAAUGAUGCCUCUGGUACAGAAAAUACGGAAGAAGGAAAUGAGAGCAAUCUUGAUGACAGUGCUUGCCAGACUGAUCAAGAAGAUAUAGGCGGAUUUGCAAACGAUGCAGGAUGCCUUCACUCGUUGAAAAUCUCCGAGAGACAGGUCCUUUCAUGUGAUUAGUUACUGCGUCAUGCAUUAAUCAGUCUGUCUAAAGCUUAGAUUUAUAAAACACUGAAACAUUACCGCCAGAAAAUCAUAUUUAACAUAGCAAAACAGGAUUCCAUUGUCAGCUACAAACUCUACGCAUGCGUUUGCUAUCUGAUUUCAUCUAAAAUGUUUUUUUCCCCAUGAAAUGUCUCAGGUGGGCACUCCAUUGGAGGAAGAUCUAGCAAGCUGGGGUCAUCAUUCUACCUCAAAGUCUGUUCCAGAUACUAUACUGCAAGCUUCAGCUGGUGACGAGGUUAGUUGCCUCUCCGAGUUUAUUUUUCAGUCUAAUCAAUCGCUAAGCCAAGCUCUGCGGUAUAGGAAGUUUAGUGGCUUCUGAUAACUUUUCACGGUCUAUAAAAACAUUGCAGGUUACAUUUGUAUUCACAAACCAGGUAGAUGGGAAGCUCAUUCCCAUAAAAUCAAAUCCUAGUCCAAAACCGGAAGUAACCGAAUUAAACCGAAACCAAGCUGUAAGUAACCGUGGCUUCAACAAACCGCAACAAAGACCUAGGGAACCUCUCCAACCAUUAUCUCCCAACGAGACCAACAAAAGAGUGAAGUUGUCUACGUAUAAGCGUUUACACUGUACUAGUAAUACUGAUGGUGCUCAAAUGCAAAUGCCUUUGCAAAGACCAAAUCAA